rnacentral:rRNA from 1 species
AGAGUUUGAUUAUGGCUCAGGAUGAACGCUGGCGGCGUGCUUAACACAUGCAAGUCGAACGGAGUUAUCAUUUUUGAAGCGAUUAGCUUGCUGAGAGUGGAAAUGUUGGUAACUUAGUGGCGGACGGGUGAGUAACGCGUGGAGAACCUGCCUUACACAGGGGGAUAACACUUAGAAAUAGGUGCUAAUACCGCAUAAGCGCACAGGACCGCAUGGUCCGGUGUGAAAAACUGAGGUGGUGUAAGAUGGCUCCGCGUCUGAUUAGCUUGUUGGUAGGGUAACGGCCUACCAAGGCGACGAUCAGUAGCCGGCCUGAGAGGGUGAACGGCCACAUUGGGACUGAGACACGGCCCAAACUCCUACGGGAGGCAGCAGUGGGGAAUAUUGGACAAUGGGGGAAACCCUGAUCCAGCGACGCCGCGUGAGUGAAGAAGUAUUUCGGUAUGUAAAGCUCUAUCAGCAGGGAAGAAAAUGACGGUACCUGACUAAGAAGCCCCGGCUAACUACGUGCCAGCACCCGCGGGUAAUA